UAAAAAGCUCCCAAGACCUUCUCCUACCAUUCAAGUAAAUUUCUACAAGAAAUCAAAGUGGUUCUUUCCUUGGAGAUAAAUUACUUCAAGUUGAAGCAAGGUAUAAGGGGGCUGAUUUAUUGCAUCCAAGGGCUUGAGGAAAGUAAAGAGAAGAGGGGGGGUACUGCUGCUCGAUUUUGUAUAAGCUUGUCGUUUGCCGCUCGUCGUUUGUCGAUAUGUUCUUAGUAUUGAUAAAAGCUAUGCUUUCAUCUUGUAGACCAGCAUAUUGGUGAGUCACUUGUGGUUUUGUGAAGAAUAGCUACGGUUGAGGUAUGUAAAGUCUUCCUUCCUUAUUUUAGCAUGAGUUUGUUAGUCAUGUCACCCUUAUAAGAGAUUCAAGGGGGCAAGUUCUUAUGUAUGCUCUUUGUCGACAGAUUAAGGCCGUCUAUAAGUUCAUGAAGUUAAUAUAGAUAAGUUGAAAGUAGUCCGCAGUUGUCCUUCAUGCAUAUUACCUAGAAAUGAGUAGAGCACGGGGAAGUGGUAUUCUAUAUAAGACAAGAAGUAUAAUAUCUGAUUGAUUGUUACCUAUAAACGGCUUAACGAGCUAGAAGUCUUGCACAAAAUGACUUAAUCGCUGGAAAUAGAUCAUAAUAGUUAAGUAAAGAUAGCCAUAACCUCCCUAAUAUCAUGGAGAGUAAAAUAUAAUUUAAGAAAGGUAAUAAGCUGCCUAAACACGAGUCCCCUUGUAGAUUAAAAUUUUUGGACAAAUAAGCUAACCAACAAAUGGUAACAUAAGUUGUAGAAUCAGAUUGUAAUAGGGCCAUGCGAUAGUCGUACAUAUCCUAGGAUAGACAUGAACUUCCUAAAUCUAAGGGAAGUAGGAUAUGAGUAAUUAACGUAAGAAGCGGUUUAAAGAAAAUGAGUUAACAAAUACGAAUCAUGAUUUACAGAGAGUAAUGGAAAAGUUUAUUUUUUUAUAAGUACGAGUACCUAGCUUAUAAAUUAUUGAUUGUUGAAUAUUAUUUGAUGUUGUAUAUACAUAAGUAUGUGCCCUAUGAACAGUCACUAGUGAAUGCAUAGGUGCACAACAAGGGUCGUUAUGGAUGGCCAGGAGCACGCAUAGCCAAACCCGAGUAUGUGAGUCGUACGGACGGUCUGCUUAGCUACGCGUACGUUCCACCAGACACUUAUGGUUGUAGUUCACCUUACAAAUGAUCUGCCUUGCUACAUGCAAGAAGCUAUGGCUAAGGAAUAUGAUGCUUUGGUUUCCAAUCAGAUUUGGGAAGUGGUUGAACUUCUUCCUAGGAAGAAAACAUUACCUUGCAAGCGGGUAUACAAAAUAAAAUACAAGACUAACAAAAGUGCUAAAAGUUUAAAAGCUAAGGCUAGUGAUAAGAGGUGACACUCAAAGAGAAAGGAUUUUCCUAAAAAACCUUCUCUCCAGUUGUCAAAAUAAUAUCGAUAAGGUAUUUGUUAGCAAUUGUGGUCAAGAAAGGAUGGAGACUAUUUCAAUUGAAUAUGAAUAAUGCUUUUCUUCACGGAGACUUAGAUGAGGAGGUCGACAUGAAGUAUUCAACUGGUAUGCAGCCCCCAACACCUAAUCAUAUACGCACACUUAGAAAAUCACUCAAUGGGCUUCGUUAAGCAUCUCGUCAAUGGUACAAAAGAUUGACUGCAACACUCAAUUUCAAGGCCUAUUCUCAUUCAAUGAACGAUUACUCUCUAUUUUUAAAAAAAGAAUGAAGAUCCAACUUCUAUUUGACAGUAUAUGUGGACGACAUUCUCUUAACCGGUAAUGACAACAUUGAGCUUCUUGACUUAAAGAUGUUUUUGGACACAUAGUUUAAAAUUAAAGACCUUGUUCUUCUGAGGAAUGGAAAUACCGAGAGAUGCCGGUGAAAUAAUUUUAAGUCAGACAAAAUUCACCCUUGACCUUCUGUCUGAUUUUUUUAUUUUAUUCUUUUACUUUCCAUCUGAAUUUGAUUCCCUGAAUCAAAACCUAUCUCCUUGUUUUUUGCAAUUCAAAUUGGGGAGCUUGUCCGAACACGUGAAGAUAUGUGAGUGAAUUCUUUAUUAGUCUUGGGGGAUCCCUAAUUUCGUAGAAGUUUGAGAAACAGAUUUCAAUUCCUUGUCAUCCGCUGAAGCUGAAUACAAAUCAAUGUGAAGAGUAGUUGUGAAGAUUACUUGGUUGGUACAUCUCCUAUAUAUCUAAUCUCCCAGUA